UACGUAGGGUGCAAGCGUUAAUCGGAAUUACUGGGCGUAAAGCGUGCGCAGGCGGCUUUGCAAGACAGAUGUGAAAUCCCCGGGCUCAACCUGGGAACUGCAUUUGUGACUGUAGAGCUGGAGUACGGCAGAGGGGGAUGGAAUUCCGCGUGUAGCAGUGAAAUGCGUAGAUAUGCGGAGGAACACCGAUGGCGAAGGCAAUCCCCUGGGCCUGUACUGACGCUCAUGCACGAAAGCGUGGGGAGCAAACAGG
rnacentral:rRNA from 1 species